GUAGGGGAUAUUGGUGAAUGGGCGAAAGCCUGAACCAGCAACGCCGCGUGUGCGAUGACAGCCUUCGGGUUGUAAAGCACUUUUUGCCGGGAAGAGGAAGGACGGUACCGGUAGAAUAAGCCUCGGCUAACUACGUGCCAGCAGCCGCGGUAAAACGUAGGAGGCGAGCGUUAUCCGGAUUUACUGGGUGUAAAGCGCGUGCAGGCGGUUGGAUAAGUUGGGUGUGAAAGCUCCUGGCUCAACUGGGAGAGGUCGCUCAAGACUGUCCGACUGGAGCGUGGUAGGGGAAGGCGGAAUUCCGGGUGUAGUGGUGAAAUGCGUAGAUAUCCGGAGGAACACCAGUGGCGAAAGCGGCCUUCUGGACCACGACUGACGCUCAGACGCGAAAGCUAGGGGAGCAAACGGGAUUAGAUACCCUGGUAGUCC
rnacentral:rRNA from 1 species